rnacentral:rRNA from 1 species
AAAAAAUAUACGCAUCUGCCUCCUCGCCUCGACCCUGGCCUGUGAAAAAUUCCCCAGCCACCGUCGCGGCCGACCUUAUCCCGCCUGCCGCAGCUGCACCUCUGCCCGCUCGCCGCCCCCGUUGUGGCGCUCGAGCGGCCAUGGACAAUGCGUCUACUCGAUGCAGAACAACGGCGGCAGGAUCCAGCAGGCGGGGGUGAAGGAGGGAUCCGGCGCGGCGGCGCGACGUCCCUCCUCCGCCGCUGUCGUUGAGGAAGCGAGGAAGCAAGCCGAUGAUGUGGUGGUGCAGUACAUGGUGGUGCGGCGCGACCUGGCGGACGCGUGGCUGCUGGGGAGCGUGGUGGCGCAGGGGUGACAUGCCGCCGUGGCCGCCUUCUGGGUGCACCACGACCACCCGGACACAAAGGCCUGUUCGAGCUUUUGCCCCACUCAAGUUGUUUACAUUUCUCUCCUCCUAACCUCUGAAUCUGUGUUGCGCCUCUGAUAAAAGAAGUUUGCAUCACGCCUCCUUUGGAAAAUAACAAUCAUUUGCAUAACUGCAUUAAGUUUUUUCAGCAGAAGUGUGCUGGCUGGUUAGUUCAUGAAGCCAUUCAUUCAUUUGCACUGUGAUAGGGGCUGUGGUAGCUUUGGCAUCAUAUAAUUCAUUUGCACUGUAAUGUUAAUCUAAUGUUUCAAUUGUGUUGAGUGGCAGCACCGAAUUGAGUCACCUUCCUGGCGCGUGGAUGUAGCUGCAACUACCCAAGACUCCUGGUGUGUGGAUUCGUCAUGGAUGUUGCCAGUACCGCAAGAGGAUGAUGUCUGAACUAGCUACAAGAAAUGACGCUACUUCCUAGACACACUCGAGUCACUUGACUGAAUGUACAAGAGAGAAACUGCAAUCGACCACAACGACGACAUGUGGGUUAGAAUUUGCUUGCCUUCUCUUUGUUCCUAUUUUUCUUUGUGUAGAUUAAUGUGGAGUUCUCUACUUACUAAUCAUGCUGUGUUCCUCCUGCAAAUUCCAAAAUAAAAUAGUUGCUUGGGUGAAAAGAAAAUUCACAUCAGUUUUUGCUCUUGCAGUCUUCAUGUUGAUUUUUUUAUAAUAGAAAGUUAAAACAAAAUGUUGUCCUCUAGCCACAACCGAUGCUGCAUAUAGCUGUAUACUGAAUUUAUUUGUGCAGUUCUCAUAUAAUCCAAAAUCCUAUUUUCUGGAUAAUCUAGGUGAUGAAGGACAGAAAUUCUAUUCCUGUUUGUAGCUUUGUGUAACUGUGUUGUGGUUAAUUAGUGACCAAUUGGGGAUUUUAAGAAUUAGAGUUGUGGGAAUUUGGGGAUAAAAAAAGUACUUGUGUAUUUGUGAAUUUGGGGAUGCACGAGAUACACUUGUACAAAACAAUUUUCUUUAGAUUUUCUUUUGAUAUCACUAAUUACAGCCAUGUUCAUACUUGUGCCAUGAAUGUAUUGCUGUCUACAAUCUCGUGGCCAAUAUGGGAAUCCACAAGGAGGAGGGACACACCCCAAUGAUGGAGUUCCUGCAGGGCUAGAGCAUGGAGACAACGGUGCCCGUAAUGGUCGCCGUGACCGCCAGCGCCGGAUUCCUCCUCCAUAGCCAGAAACCCAAGGGGGAAACAUCAAAGCAUCAACACUGUGCAGUAGCUCGAGAAGAUUGAAAGAAUCAACAUGGUUACAUGGAGCACUUGAGGGAGAAAAUAUGUAUAACCCGUUGCAACACACGGGCCCUUUUACUAGUUCAUAUAAUAUACAGACAAGCCAACCCAUACGAUUGACAUAUUUGACAUGC